CUCUCCCGAGCCAAACAGAAAACUGGAUGAAGAAACCAUGUGGCGGGACAAGAAGAUAAACAAUUUGGAGAGGGAGUUGUCCUUGUGCUACCACUCAUUGAAAAAGGAGAAAGAAAUCGUUGAGUGCAUAAGAGUGGAAAACGAGCGUCUGCUUGGCGAGAGGAGGAAGCUGUUACAGCAGCUCAGUGAGGAGGAUGACAACAUGAAAAACUCAAAUUAACAGCCUGCGUGUCUAAAAACAGGGUGCAGUAUUUAGAGACGGAGAACAAGAAUCUGGGGAACAAAGUUCUGCAUCUGUCCAACCAGAUUUCCACCAUGGAACGCAAGUUGCAGAACAUGCAGUUUAUGCAUUUUGCUGAGGAACUUCAGAAAAUGUCAACUCUCCACAGA